rnacentral:rRNA from 1 species
UACGUAGGGGGCAAGCGUUGUCCGGAAUCACUGGGCGUAAAGCGCACGUAGGCGGACUCUUAAGUCAGGGGUGAAAUCCUGGAGCUCAACUCCAGAACUGCCUUUGAUACUGGGAGCCUUGAGUUCGGGAGAGGUGAGUGGAACUGCGAGUGUAGAGGUGAAAUUCGUAGAGAUCAGGAAGAACACCAGUGGCGAAAGCGGCGACCUGGCCCGACAUUGACGCUCAUGCACGAGAGCGUGGGGAGCAAACAGG